ACGGACCAUGGGUGGGGCUGGAAGAAGACGGGUUAAAAUACGGGUGGUUUGCAUCUGGAAUGAGCUGCCCGAGAAGGCAGGAACAUUAGCGACACUUAAGAGGCAACUGGACAGGUACUUGGAGCAGGGAAUACUGAGAUGCGGAAUUAAUGCAGGAGAACCUUCAAGAAUGCCCUGUCUGGCUGCCCCAUUGUGUGGUAUGGAAGCUGCAAGCCAUCAGACUACAAGACCCUACAGAAGAUGGUAAGAACCACCAAGAGGAUCACUGGGUACCCCUUCUCUCCAUUUAUGACAUUUAUUGGGUAUAUUGCAGACAAAGGUCCCAAAGCAUUGUUGAAGAUCUCCACCACCCAUCCCACAAUCUCCUUGACCCACAACCAUCAUGAAGGAGGUACGGAAGCAUGAGGACUAGCAGUGCCAGACUGGGUAACAGCUUCUUCCCUCAGGCUGUGAGACUAAUGGAUACCCUGCCACCACCGAGGUCUUGUCACUAGGUCAGCGAGCUGUUUGCUUUAUACUGUACUGUUUACUGUUCACCUGUGACACAUGCAUUUUGCAUUAUAUUUCAUUAACUUAUUUAUGGUAAUAUUUAUGUUUCUUUGUAAGUUAUAUAUUUUGUGUGUGCACUGUGGUGCAGAGGAACAUUGUUUCAUUUGGUUAUAUAUGUA